CCUACGGGGGGCUGCAGUCGAGAAUCAUUCACAAUGGGGGAAACCCUGAUGGUGCGACGCCGCGUGGGGGAAUGAAGGUCUUCGGAUUGUAAACCCCUGUCAUGUGGGAGCAAAUUAAAAAGAUAGUACCACAAGAGGAAGAGCCGGCUAACUCUGUGCCAGCAGCCGCGGUAAUACAGAGGUCUCAAGCGUUGUUCGGAACCACUGGGCGUAAAGCGUGCGUAGGCUGUUUCGUAAGUCGUGUGUGAAAGGCGCGGGCUCAACGCGCGGACGGCACAUGAUACUGUGAGACUAGAGUGAUGGUGGGGGAGGCGGAAUGCUCGGUGUAGCAGUGAAAUGCGUAGAUAUCG
rnacentral:rRNA from 1 species